GUUUCUAUAUCCCAUGUUUUAUCUAUGUAUUUUUGGUACUAAUUUUUAUGCCUUACAUACUCGGUACUUUUUUCGAACUGACGCCCUAUUUCACGGGGCCUACUUUACAUGUCCGCAUGUGCAGGUAGGCAAGUUGACAGUCCCCCUCCUUAGGAUAACUGAUCAGCGAGAAUUGGCGUUCUCUACUUGAUCCAGAGCUAUUAUGAUUUUGAUACGAUAAAUUUAUAUAUAUAUAUAUAUAUAUAACGUGUCUCAGUCCCGUCUUUAUACAGUUAGAUUUCUAUAAGAGGUCUGUAGAUAAUAUGUCUAGUUGGGUUGCAUAUGGUCUUGUCGGCUUUUAGCUUUGGAUGUAUAGUUAUUUGUAGCAACCUUGCCGGCUCGCCCACUGUAUU
rnacentral:lncRNA from 1 species